AUAAUAACCAAAAACAGCAAAAUUUCCUUAAAAUUACCAUUUCAGGGGCAGCAACCCAACAACGAAAUGUCCGAUUCAUCUGAAAAUUUCAGGGCAGACAGAUCUUGACCCGAUGAACAAUAUUACCCCAUGUCAGAUUUGCUCUAAAUGCUUUGGUUUUUGAGUUAUAAGCCAAAAACUGCAUUUUACCCUAUGUUCUAUUUUUAGCCAUGGCGGCCAUCUUGGUUGGUUGGACGGGUCACCGGACACAUUUUUUAAACUAGAUACCCCAAUGAUGAUUGUGG
rnacentral:lncRNA from 1 species